GAGUUUGAUCAUGGCUCAGAUUGAACGCUGGCGGCAUGCCUUACACAUGCAAGUCGAACGGCAGCAUGAUCUAGCUUGCUAGAUUGAUGGCGAGUGGCGAACGGGUGAGUAAUACAUCGGAACGCGCCCUGUAGUGGGGGAUAACUAGUCGAAAGAUUAGCUAAUACCGCAUACGACCUGAGGGUGAAAGUGGGGGACCGCAAGGCCUCAUGCUAUAGGAGCGGCCGAUGUCUGAUUAGCUAGUUGGUGGGGUAAAGGCCCACCAAGGCGACGAUCAGUAGCUGGUCUGAGAGGACGAUCAGCCACACUGGGACUGAGACACGGCCCAGACUCCUACGGGAGGCAGCAGUGGGGAAUUUUGGACAAUGGGCGAAAGCCUGAUCCAGCAAUGCCACGUGUGUGAAGAAGGCC
rnacentral:rRNA from 1 species